rnacentral:lncRNA from 1 species
AGUUUCUUUGCUAAAGAAGUGCAUUAGUGAUCUGGCAUUGAUCAUUCCCUUUGAAAGUAUUGGCGUGAAAGGUUCCUAUUGAAAUCUUUGACUAUCAGGUUCAUAGGUUGAGAAAUAAAUAAUUUACUUUGGUAAAGGUUCUUUGUCAAAAUCAGUUAGUUGAGGGAGCUACUUGGGAGGUAAAGUAGACAUGAUGAACAUUUACCCAAUCUUUACCCAUCGAACUCGGUC